rnacentral:rRNA from 1 species
GACGAACGCUGGCGGCGUGCUUAACACAUGCAAGUCGAACGGAAAGGCCUGCUUUCCCUUGUGGAUUGCGGGUACUCGAGUGGCGAACGGGUGAGUAACACGUGAGUGAUCUGCCCCCAACUUGGGUAUAAGCCUGGGAAACUGGGUCUAAUUCCCGAUAGGACUGCAGGGUGGUGCCUGUGGUGGAAAACGAUUUUCUAGUGGUGGGGGAUGAGCUCGCGGCCUAUCAGCUUGUUGGUGGGGUAAUGGCCUACCAAGGCGGCGACGGGUAGCCGGCCUGAGAGGGUGGACGGCCACAUUGGGACUGGGAUACGGCCCAGACUCCUACGGGAGGCAGCAGUGGGGAAUAUUGGAAAAUGGGCGGAAGCCUGAGGCAGCGACGCCGCGUGGGGGAUGACGGCCUUCGGGUUGUAAACUCCUUUCGACCGCGAGGAAGCCACCUGGUUGGAAGGGUGGUGACGGUAGUGGUAGAAGAAGCACCGGCUAACUACGUG